rnacentral:rRNA from 1 species
GAUGAACGCUGGCGGCGUGCCUAAUACAUGCAAGUCGAGCGAACAGACGAGAGUGCUUGCCCUCUCUGACGUUAGCGGCGGACGGGUGAGUAACACGUGGGUAACCUACCUAUAAGACUGGGAUAACUUCGGGAAACCGGAGCUAAUACCGGAUAAUAUUUAGCUUCGCAUGAAGCAAUAGUGAAAGACGGUUCUGCUGUCACUUAUAGAUGGACCCGCGGUGUAUUAGCUAGUUGGUGAGGUAACGGCUCACCAAGGCAACGAUACAUAGCCGACCUGAGAGGGUGAUCGGCCACACUGGGACUGAGACACGGCCCAGACUCCUACGGGAGGCAGCAGUAGGGAAUCUUCCGCAAUGGACGAAAGUCUGACGGAGCAAUGCCGCGUGAGUGAAGAAGGUUUUCGGAUCGUAAAACUCUGUUGUAAGGGAAGAACAAGUACGUUAGUAACUGAACGUACCUUGACGGUACCUUACCAGAAAGCCACGGCUAACUACGUG